AUAGCUAAGCAAGCAAAAGUUACCAAAAUCAGAAACAAGACAAAACUAAAAUGAAACUAACUAAGGGAGAGGUAGGCUAGUAUAAGAGAUUUAAGAAGAGGAAGGGAGUUAGUUGACGAUAUAAUGUGGUAGAGGGAAUUAUAAUCUGAGCAUAAAACCCUAAACGGUUCGUGUGAGGCAUAAUUCGAUCUACAUAGUGGAAGGAACAAAGGAAUAAAGUUUCUAGUGGGUCUAAUGGGAAUCGUAAAGUUUAUGCGGAUCAGCAAGUCAGGGCUGUCUACAUCCCCCUUGAUCAAGUUGUGCAUAAAAAUUACACCAAGCAUUAUUCUACGACUAACUAAGGAUGGAAGAUUUAGUAAAAGAAGUCUACUACGGAAGGAUGGCAGUCUCACAGUUGCAUCCCAGUUGAGGCCCAGUAGGGCAAAUAAUAAAAAGUUUUUCUGUACUGAUUCAAUACGGUCCUGAUGUAUGUUGUACUGAGGGCACCAUACACAUGAGCGGUAUUCUAAAAUCGGACGAACAAGCGAGAUAUAGAGAGUCUUCG
rnacentral:lncRNA from 1 species